GCCAGCAUGGUGUAGUGGUUUGAACAUUGGACUAUGACUCUGGAGACCAGAGUUCGAAUCCCCACUUGGCC